rnacentral:rRNA from 1 species
GAUGAACGCUAGCGGCAGGCUUAAUACAUGCAAGUCGAGGGGGAUCAGCUGGGUAGCAAUACUCGGCUGUGAGACCGGCAAACGGGUGCGGAACACGUACGCAACCUUCCCAAAACUGGUGAAUAGCCCUCCGAAAGGAGGAUUAAUACACCGUAACAUAAUGAGAUGGCAUCAUUUUAUUAUUAUAGCUCCGGCGGUUUUGGAUGGGCGUGCGCCUGAUUAGGUAGUUGGCGGGGUAACGGCCCACCAAGCCUGCGAUCAGUAACUGGUGUGAGGGAACGACCAGUCACACGGGCACUGAGACACGGGCCCGACUCCUACGGGAGGCAGCAGUAAGGAAUAUUGGUCAAUGGACGAAAGUCUGAACCAGCCAUGCCGCGUGAAGGAUGACGGCCCUCUGGGUUGUAAACUUCUUUUAUCUGGGACGAAAAAAGAUCAUUCUUGAUCACUUGACGGUACCAGAGGAAUAAGCACCGGCUAACUCCGUGCCAGCAGCCGCCGUAAGAC